rnacentral:rRNA from 1 species
GAUGAACGCUGGCGGUAUGCUUAACACAUGCAAGUCGAACGGACUCUUCGGAGUUAGUGGCGGACGGGUGAGUAACGCGUGAGAAUCUGGCUUUGGGUUCGGGACAACCACUGGAAACGGUGGCUAAUACCGGAUGUGCCGAGAGGUAAAAGAGAAAUUGCCUGAAGAUGAGCUCGCGUCUGAUUAGCUAGUUGGUGAGGUAAAGGCUCACCAAGGCAGCGAUCAGUAGCUGGUCUGAGAGGAUGACCAGCCACACUGGGACUGAGACACGGCCCAGACUCCUACGGAAGGCAGCAGUGGGGAAUUUUCCGCAAUGGGCGAAAGCCUGACGGAGCAAUACCGCGUGAGGGAAGAAGGCUCUUGGGUUGUAAACCUCUUUUCUUAGGGAAGAACAAAAUGACGGUACCUAAGGAAUCAGCAUCGGCUAACUCCGUG